AGCCGCCCAAGGGCUGGCGAUGGCGUACUUGCCGUGGAGACUGGCGCAGCGUUGGUGUCCGAGGUCACUAGUUUUCCGGCAGUUCAGCUGCACAUGAAUAGAACAGCAAUGAGAGCCAGUCAGAAGGACUUUGAAAAUGCAGUGAAUCAAGUGAAACUCUUGAAAAAGGAUCCAGGAAACGAAGUGAAGCUAAAACUCUACGCGCUGUAUAAGCAGGCCACUGAAGGACCUUGUAACAUGCCCAAACCGGGUAUAUUUGACUUGAUCAACAAGGCCAAAUGGGAUGCAUGGAAUGCCCUUGGCAGCCUGCCCAAGGAAGCUGCCAGGCAGAACUAUGUGGAUUUGGUGUCCAGUUUGAGUCCUUCAUUGGAAUCCUCUAGUCAGGUGGAGCCUGGAACAGACAGGAAAUCAACUGGGUUUGAAACUCUGGUGGUGACCUCCGAAGAUGGCAUCACAAAGAUCAUGUUCAACCGGCCCACAAAGAAAAAUGCCAUAAACACUGAGGUAAUGUUACCUGCCCACAGAGUUUGUCCUGUUUUACUUUCUUCUUCUAUGUGU
rnacentral:sRNA from 1 species